UCAUUUGGUUAGGCCAUGUAAUGCUUGAGUCGAUUUGAAGUUGAACUGAAGCUAAUAUAACACCGACAUCCUCCAGAUCAACUUCAUAUCGACUCAGGCGCUACAUAGCCUAACCAAAU